rnacentral:rRNA from 1 species
GACGAACGCUGGCGGCGUGCCUAAUACAUGCAAGUAGAACGCACAGUUUAUACCGUAGCUUGCUACACCAUAAACUGUGAGUUGCGAACGGGUGAGUAACGCGUAGGUAACCUGCCUGGUAGCGGGGGAUAACUAUUGGAAACGAUAGCUAAUACCGCAUAAUAUUGAUUAUUGCAUGAUAAUUGAUUGAAAGAUGCUAUUGCAUCACUACCAGAUGGACCUGCGUUGUAUUAGCUAGUAGGGGAGGUAACGGCUCACCUAGGCGACGAUACAUAGCCGGCCUUGGAGGGUUGUCGGCCCCCCUGGGACCUGGACCCGGCCCAGACUCCUCCGGGAGGCAGCAGUAGGGAAUCUUCGGCAAUGGACGACAGUCUGACCGAGCAACGCCGCGUGAGUGAAGAAGGGUUUCGGAUCGUAAAGCUCUGUUGUAAGAGAAGAACGGGUGUGAGAGUGGAAAGUUCACACUGUGACGGUAUCUUACCAGAAAGGGACGGCUAACUACGUG